rnacentral:piRNA from 1 species
CUCGAAGGACUUCGUGCAUUCUU